rnacentral:rRNA from 1 species
CCUACGGGUGGCAGCAGUGGGGAAUAUUGCACAAUGGGCGCAAGCCUGAUGCAGCCAUGCCGCGUGUGUGAAGAAGGCCUUCGGGUUGUAAAGCACUUUCAGCGGGGAGGAAGGCGUUAAGGUUAAUAACCUUGUCGAUUGACGUUACCCGCAGAAGAAGCACCGGCUAACUCCGUGCCAGCAGCCGCGGUAAUACGGAGGGCGCAAGCAUUAAUCGGAAUUACUGGGCGUAAAGCGCACGCAGGCGGUCUGUCAAGUCGGAUGUGAAAUCCCCGGGCUCAACCUGGGAACUGCAUUCGAAACUGGCAGGCUAGAGUCUUGUAGAGGGGGGUAGAAUUCCAGGUGUAGCGGUGAAAUGCGUAGAGAUCUGGAGGAAUACCGGUGGCGAAGGCGGCCCCCUGGACAAAGACUGACGCUCAGGUGCGAAAGCGUGGGGAGCAAACAGGAUUAGAUACCCCUGUAGUC